rnacentral:lncRNA from 1 species
UCGUCACUGUGGGUAUGCAAACAGCUUCAGAACAUUGGCCUGGGAUACUGUGGAAAGAUUUCAUCCAUCAGGUAAAAGGCUGGAGUCGACACAGUGAAAGUGGCUCCUGACUGAGGGAUUUGGUGAGCGUUGGCUGGGUAAGCACAUGUGUGGGAAGGACGCCUGUAUGUGUGGGAAAAUGGUUGGCAUCCAUCGCCUCAACCUUGGCUACAGGAGGUGCCCGAGAUGCCUGGGAAGUAGGGGUUGAGGCCCAGGUGAGGCAUGUCAGCAGCCUAGGACCCCGCCCCACCUUGGAAGGCCCUGGAGCCCAGGACUGUGCUGCCUGCCAGGGCAUUUCCUGGAACUUGGCAGAGGAUGGAGCCCCUCCCUGCCUGCCCUGGCACACUCCAGGUACACUGUGUCCCGGGAUGUGGGGUAGCGGGGGAUGAGUCCUGGCCUGGGCAGACAUCUGAGCUCCCGCCCUGCGGCUGUCAUCCUCACAAUGGCCCCACCAGACCACAGGGGACAGCAGGCCCAGAGGAGGAAGGAGAAGCCUUGUGGCUGGGUGGCAGGAUUCGUGGGUCUUUGUUGUGGCUUUGGGUGGGAGCGUGGGUAAGGCAGAAAAGCGGGGUCUCAGGCUUCAAAGCACCUCCCCACCUGCUUCUUCCCUGCAGGGUAAUCUUCAGGGGCCUAGUGGUUUUGAGGGGAGGGGACAGGAAGAGACUCUGA